CAGUAAUGAAGCAAGGUUCUCUCCUGGUGUUGACACAUCAGAUUUUAAAAUGAAUUUGAGACUGCCAUGUCAAUAAAUGAAAAAACUGAGAACCCAAUCAAAAUAUUUUGUCUCUCCACAUCACUUUUGUCUUUUGCACCGAAGGGUUCUGCGCUCUCUCUCUCUCUCUUCCUCUUUCGAUUUGAUCGAUAUCUCUCUUCCUCUUUCGCUUUUAAAUUGAACGGGGAUGUGGAACAAGACAACAAGACAAAGGCUGAAGAAGUUCAGACCCAAUCAAGGAUCUUCACGACUCUCUUCUCCGGCGAGGUGACCGAAGGGUUCUGAUUUUUGGGGGAAUCGAAAUACUAUAAUGGGUUUGACGAAUUUCAUACUGACAGUGACCGGAGUAGGCGCCGUGGUAGUGCUAUUGAAGGGCGACGUCAAGCAAUCUGCCACCGUAUUGAGGCGUAACGUCAAGCAUAUCCGCAACUGGCUCGAAGAAGAAACUUCCGCCACCUCCAAGGAAGAUUCCAAAAGACAAGAAUUAGUGUCUUGUGCUUUUCUGUAUACAUAAACAGAGUUUAUUUUUUUGGAUUUAUGACUUUGGUGUGCGUAAGAGGAGUGUGUUGAGGCCGGCAAAAGUUCCAUCUUUUCAAGUCUCUUCUCCGCUAACAACCCUUUCCGGCGAAAGACGCCUAUGCCCGAAACCAACAAACCUAAUAUUGUUUGAAUGCUUGGUGUUGACGAACCUAAUAUUGUUUGAAGUCUCUCGAAAUAUUGUACCUGAAGAGAGUCUGGUGGAGGUUGUACCAGAGAGUCACAAGAAGUUCUUGGCCAACAUGGUUUGGGUUCAGGAAGAGAUGAAGUAGCCGUCACAUACUUCGUCAAACUGUCCAACAACGCAUUCAUCACCAACCUCAAUUUGAGAGAGCAGCAUUUUAUAACCACGUUUGCAGAUUGCAAAGAGAGGAAGCGAAGAUAGCAGUUUGGAACAAAAUGCACAAGGUUUGGGACACUUGUGAGGAUGAAAGUAGAACCUGCUAUUAGAAAACUUGGGGUCCUCCUUCACUUAUAUGAAAACUCCCGUAAACCAAUCAAACCAUGAUAAUUCUACUGAAUUGUUUUUUUGCUUGAAUCACAUGUGAAGCUGGAGAAGAAGAAAUGACCAUUACUGGAUAAGAUCUUGUACAAGCUUCAAACAACCAAGUCGAGAGGUCAGGUGGAGUUCAGUAUUCAGUGAUCAUCAACGAGAACAAAAGUUUUGACUAUAGAUGCCUGCAAUAAAACAGUAGCACAAACCGUAAUCUUCUUUCCAUGCUUGUGUAUAUAAUUUUAAAAUGUUUAUCUAUAUAUACCAAUAUAUAUCGUUGUUAUGAUCUGUUUCACGCUGUUGAAAAAACUUUCGAAUCAGCUGUUCUUGCCGCAAAGAAUCAAAACCACCAAAGGUCUUCAGGGUAAGGAUGUGCAAGGUUUGGGAGCUUCACAGGUGAAAGCAUCAACGGAGAGAAAGCUUUUUAUAUUUCUCCUGUAUCUUUUAUCACAAUGCUUAAAACUGUAUAGCAGAUUCUGUUUUCUUCCAUCUCCAUAGCUACAGCCCAAAAAGUUGAGAAAUGAGAUUCAUGACUUAGUGAUUGGUGUCACGGAAGUUAUUGUUAACAAACACAAAGAAGAAUUACUAUUUUUAAAACAAUAUAAAAUGUAAAAGUAAAACCAAAGUUAGGAGUGCAUUGUUUUACCAAAUAUGCAUGACUUCAAAUAUAUAUACAUAUUCAUCAUUUUUUUUGUUAUAGUUUAUUAUUUCAUUGCUAACAAAAUAAAUUUUAUAAGCUUAGUAACAUUUUCUAGAAUU